rnacentral:rRNA from 6 species
AGACCCGAAACCCGGUGAUCUAGCCAUGGGCAGGUUGAAGGUUGGGUAACACUAACUGGAGGACCGAACCGACUAAUGUUGAAAAAUUAGCGGAUGACCUGUGGCUGGGGGUGAAAGGCCAAUCAAACCGGGAGAUAGCUGGUUCUCCCCGAAAGCUAUUUAGGUAGCGCCUCGUGAAUUCAUCUCCGGGGGUAGAGCACUGUUUCGGCUAGGGGGCCAUCCCGGCUUACCAACCCGAUGCAAACUGCGAAUACCGGAGAAUGUUAUCACGGGAGACACACGGCGGGUGCUAACGUCCGUCGUGAAGAGGGAAACAACCCAGACCGCCAGCUAAGGUCCCAAAGUCAUGGUUAAGUGGGAAACGAUGUGGGAAGGCCCAGACAGCCAGGAUGUUGGCUUAGAAGCAGCCAUCAUUUAAAGAAAGCGUAAUAGCUCACUGGUCGAGUCGGCCUGCGCGGAAGAUGUAACGGGGCUAAACCAUGCACCGAAGCUGCGGCAGCGACACUCAGG